rnacentral:tRNA from 1 species
GCCACAGUGGCCUAAUGGAUAAAGCAUUGGCCUCCUAAGCCAGAGAUUGUGAGAUUGUGGGUUCAAGUCCCACCCAGGGUA